GAACCAAUAGAGAGGAAGAAAGCCAGGGGAGCAUGGUGUCAGAAGCCAAAGGAGGAGGGAGCUUUGCAUUUUAUGACAUCAGGGACCACAAUUUUGUGCAGCUAGUAUCACACACGGUAGAGGGAAAAUUCUCUGUGAGUCUGUAUCACACUGAGUUGAAAUUGACCAACUAGUGAUCAUUGGGGACAUCAAGAAAGAAAGGACUGAAAAGAAUGAUUGACUUAGGAAUUAGAAGGUUACUGGGGCUUUGCCAUACAUGGGGGCUUCUCAUUUGAUUUAACCUCCCUGAGAAUAGGUAUCACCUGCCCCAGGGUUGGAGUGACAGGUGCACGUUCUAGAAACCAGAUUUCUUGACUCCAAGUUCACCUUUCCCUGAGCUUAUGGGGAAAUAGGGAAGAGUCCAAGGGAGUGGUAAUCCUUUUACUAUUUGAUACUAAGGCCCCAAAUUGGGGCCUCUGGUCAGAACCAGGCUUAGGGUGGUUGUUCUAUUCAGCAUUUACCACAUUUGUUCAUAUUUGCCGUUAUCAGGCGGCUCUGAUCUUCUCAGAUGUGUGAUUAUUUAAAUGAGACUCUGGGAGUUCCUGUGUGGCUCAGAGGUAACAAACCCCACUCAUAUCCAUGAGGAUGCAGGUUUGAUCCUUGGCCUCUCUCAUGAGCUGUGGUGUAGGUUGUAGAUGCAGCUUGGAUCCUGAGUUGCUGUGACUCAUAGGCAUAGGGCAGCAGCUGCAGCUCCGAUUGGAUCCUAGCCUGGGAACUUCUGUAUGCCACAGGAGUAGCCCCCAAAAAGAGACAGAGAGAGAGAGAGAAAAUAAAUAUAGGAGACGCUGUCCCCAGAGGAAAAGAUAGAAGCUUGAGCAUAGGUGUUGUGUAGGGGGCCAGAGGAGUCAGUGUGGAGGUAGAAGAACAUGUUGAGAUAGUCGAGUCUUUGAUCUGUAAGCAGAUAGUGACUCUGGCUAAAUUAAUAAGAAAAGGAAUGUUUUGGAAGGAUAUCUGGUGACUCACUGAAUAUCCUGGAAAUCUGGAGAAGCGGGCUCCAAAAUCAGUCAGGACCUGUAGGAAGUUGAGUAGCUGGAACCAAAGACAAGAUGAUGAUGCCACUGGUCUGGCAUCACUGCUGCCAGCUAACCUGAAUGCUGCCACCACCUCUGGAAUGGGUUCAAAACUCCCUGACUCUUUGUGUCACUCAAUCCAGAGGCAGAGCCCAGGCUGAGCAUCCUAUUGGCCAGCUUAGGUCACAUGCGCAUGCUGUCAUUGUUGGGGAGGAGAGGUUACAGCUUCCCCAGUGGCAAGUGGAACUCUCCCAUCUCCAAGGGCUCACAACGCCAAGUUCCUGGAACCUGGGAGAGGUGUCCACCAUAGAAGCCAGAGCCAUUCUAGUCUCAGACUGGGAUGAUUGGGAAGUACUGGACAUGGGAGGAGGUGAUGGGGCAGCCCCCGUAAGCCACUGAAAAUCCGUAUCUUUGUGUGUGUGUGUGUGUGUGUGUGGCAUAUGGAAGUUCCCAGGCUAGGGGUUGAAUUGGAGCUUGGAGCUAUAGCCGCCGGCUUACACCACAGCCACAGCAACACAGGAUCCGAGCUGAGUCUGCGAACAGCACCAUAGCUCACGGCAAUGCCUGAUCCCUAACCCACCGAGUGAGGCCAGGGAUCAAACCUGCGUCCUUAUGGAUACUAGUCAGAUUUGUUUCUGAUGAGCCACGACGGGAACUGCCACAUCUUAAUCUUUUUGGACAUUUUUCUGAAUCCGUUAGCCUCCAGCUAAACCUUAGGAUUCUUACAUGCUGUGGAGAUCUGAGCCUUUCAUUAGCAGUUGGAUUUCUCCUCUGGAAUCUGAAAGAUUCCAGUGGAAAAGAGAGCUCACCCAGCAUCUGGACCCUCCCUGCACAUUUGAUGCCACUGGGAAAAACUUCAGCGCUGCCUUGUAAGGACAGAUGCCAAGGCUUGGCUCUCUCUGGCCAACAUGCAGCUAUAGCAUGAAUUCUGCUUCUCCGCUGGGGUUGGGCAAGACCCAUAGACCCUGAGAUGUGCGAGAGGUGCUACCUGGCUAUUGACUGGAGGUUGGAGUUUGAGCUUCAGGAUUGAUUUGUGAAAUGAUUAAGGUCCAAAGCCAAAGGACUGGCCCUUUUUGUGUUCUGAAGAUGUCACCCUAGUGGAGAUGUUCUAGCCAAUAUCCUGCCUGAGAGAGAGCUAAGGGCGCUAGGGCUUCAUCUGCCUGGGGCUGUCAGCAUCGCCAGUCCCAUCCCUGCCUGGUUUCUGCAUCCGAACACGGAGGUGGUGUUGGUUAGGUGAGUGCCAGCUCCCUUCUUGCCCUCGGAUCCUCUAGUUAUAGCUCUUCAGAGGAAGGACACUUUGCCUGAAAUCUUGGUCAUUCAUUUCCAAUAACCUUAGACCAAGGAAUUAAUUUCCCUUAAAAAGAAAAUGCAGUUCUGAACCUACAAGACUCGUGGCUGUGGUGUCCGCCGGUGUUUCAAAACCAUUUCCCUGGUGCCUGGAAAUGGGAAGCUGCUGCCUCCACGGAGCUGGGUGUGUCAAGGGCCGGGUUCUUGCAGCCCACACUGGAGGUGAUUCUGGAGGCUGAGGCCUGAUCACCCAUGUGGGGUCAGGGCGGCCCCCGGGCGGAGGGACGGAGCAGAAGAGUUCCCAGCCACUUUGGGGAGUUCCCAUCGUGGCACAGCAGAGACGAAUCUGACUAGGUAUCAUGAGGUUGUGGGUUCGAUCCCUGGCCUCACUCAGUGGGUUAAGGAUCCGUCGUUGCCAUGAGCUGUGGUGUGGGUCGCAGACACAGCUCGGAUCUGGCAUUGCUGUGGUUGUGAUGUAGGUCAGCAGCUGCAGCUCUGAUUGGACCCCUAGCCCAGGAACCUUCAUAUACUGUGGGAGUGGCCCUAAAAGAACAAAAAAGAUAAAAAAACCCAAAAAGCAAAAAACCACAGCUUUGAUCGUGUUACCCCUCUUAAAAACCUUUGAGAGCUGCCCAGGUCCUGCUGGAGAAACCUCACACUCCUCUGAAGGGCUCCCAAGGGCCUCGUUGGUGCCCAGCCCACCUCUGUACCUCUUCUCCUGAUGCUUCCCCUCCCCCAGGAUGGCCUGUAUGUUUUCCAUGUGCCUUGUGCAUUAUUGUCCUUCUGCCUAGAACAUUCUCCCUGCCCUUUUCCUUCUGGCGGACGCCCACACCACCAACCAGAAGUCACCUGCUUCCUUGCUGCCUUCCUGAGCUGCCACUUGGCAUAUCUGCAGGCAGGCUUCCCCAUGGGAGGACAUUGGCAUCAGCUGUGUGCAGCUCCUCCCUGGCCUGGCAUGUGUCUGGCACAUAGGUGUCCUGUGCUGGGACUGGGAGGGUGACUUGAGGGAUGUGAGGGUGCAGUGGGUGGGCCCAGAACCUGGCCUAGGUCAGGGGGUGCAUGAGGUUGGUGAGCUGACGGCCUCCCUUUGAACCUGCUGGUGGAGCGACUGUUGUGGUGGCUUUGCUGUUUCUCUGAGCCUGAGUGAGACCCUGGUGAGGGUGGGAAGGGGAUUUAGGGCCUCAAAGCCCAGCACCCGGGCCCCCCCUUACCCUGUGGCGGGAAGCUGGUUUAAAGGUGACAGAGACUUCCCUCCCCAUCAGCCCAACCCUUGAAGAAAGAUAAACACCAGUUGCCCUUGGCGGACCCUUAGCAUCCAUGCCUGCAUUGUCUGCUGGCUUGGCAUGGAGAGGGUAUUAGGGAGAACAUGUCGGCAGACCGUGAGAGGGGACAUCGAGGCUCUAAACUGCAAGCCCCGUUCAGCAAGGCGUUGGUCAGGACACGCUGUGUCUCUUCCCGUUAGAGGAGUGCUCCCCUGACAGUGACUGCGGGGUGCAGCCGGAACCCCAAAGCAGGCACUUGGGGUCUGUUAACAUGAGACACUUAGACCACACGUGGUUCUCUACUGCUCAGAAAUUCCUUCAGCCUAGGCACGGAGUCUGGCAGGUGGUGUUUUUAUGGUGCCUCACGGUGGGACCUGGGCUUCCUCUCAAGGGCCCUCUCAAUAGUUAUCUGGGGUCUGCACCCACUUAGAGAGAGCCAUGGGGGAGCAUUCUUCUGCCAUGGCUGAUGAGGUGGACUUUCUUUCUUAAAAGAGUUUCUUUCUCAAAGUUGUGUCUCCCUGGAGGCUGAGCCCACGCAUGGUUGACUCCUUGACUGCUGGUGAACGCGUGGCUUCUGUUGUUUGCAAAAUAUGUUUCCAGAACAUGAAAGCACAUGGUAUUUCUAAAACCUCCUUUAGGAACCCCUUGACGUGUGUCUUUGUUCUUGGCCUGGAAAAUCAGCUCAGAGGAAGCUUGGGUGGUGGGGUGGGUUUGAUGUCCUCGGGAGGUAUUGGCCUGUUAGGGGAGGGAUCUCUUUGGGGAUCUGCCUCCGUGGGGCCUGCCCCCUCCUCCUUUCCGUAUCCAUUCUCCACUUUCCUGUCCACAUCUCUGCUCUCCUUCUUCAUCCCUCCCCAUUAAAUCAAUAGAGACACCUCCAGUUUCCAUUCAGUUAUGGGGUUUGGGAGUUCCUGCUGUGGCUCAGCAGACGAACCCAUCCAGUAUCUAUGUGUAUGCGGGUUUGAUCCCUGGUCCUGCUCAGUGGGUUAAGGAUCUGGUGUUGCCUUGAGCUGUAGUGUAGGUCACAGUUCGGAAAAGUGGAUUUUAAGGGUACACCUUGAUUGAUUGGAUAUGCCGUCAGGUAAACUACUUUGGAAAAUAGUCCAGGUAACACGUACAGAACAAUAUAUUUUUAAAAUGUAGAACCUGAAGCUAUAAAAAUGUUAAUUUCCUUUUACGUAUUAGUUUUACUCUUGGGAAUUUAUGCUAAGGAAAUAAUUCUAGAAAGGAAAAGAGCUAUAUGCACAGAGAUAUUUAUAGCAACAUUGUUUAAAAUAGCAAAAAACUGUAAAUAGCCUGAGUGUUCCACAAGGCUGUGUAAUCUGACACCUAGACUCAGUGGAAUAUUGUGCCAUUGUUCAAUUGAUAUGAAGACGAUAGGGAUUCAUGGGAAAAUGUUGAAGAAUUUUCGUGAAAAGAUGAUUUCUGUUUUAGCAGGCGAAAUCGCGCAGACACUUGAUGAGUGUAUGAAAAUGGAUUACAUUGGCUCUGGUAUAAAUUGGCAUAAAGUUCACUUAUAAUGGAGCAUGAUGGAGGAUAAUGUGAGAAAAGAAUGCAUGCAUGUGUGUGUGACUGGGUUACCUUGCUGUUUAGUGGAAAAUGGACAGAACACUAAACCAGCUAUAAU
ensembl:lncRNA